GGGAUGGCCAGUGAGAGCGGUCACGGCUAGAGGGAGCCCUGGACACAGUGCACGUGGGAGAACAAAGGCUGAUUCUCCCAACUCUUCUGGAACCUAAUCUUUGUUACUAAUGUAUUCUAAGACCGUUACCUCCAAUGAUCUGUGAAGAUCUCUGAAGAAGUGUGUUGCUCCAGAGAGGCAAGCGAGUUCAACUUAUGAACUGUCAACUAAAAGUUUUUUGCAUAAGCUUUUCACUAGGUAUUCAGGUCAAGAAGAUAACAGAUCUCUGGCUUGAACUCUGAAAGCAGAAGUCCUUGAGAAGCCUUUAAGAAUUGGAUCCCUUCAAGGCUGAAACUGCUGUUCUCAUCAGCUUGCAUAGGAGGCCUCACUUUGCUCCAAACGCUCAGACGCUGAGCUCCCAGAAGGUAAGGCAUUCUGUGUCUGGGCAAGAGCUUGUGGUUGCUGGUGUGUGAUUCAUCCAUCCGUAGAUGCUUAGGCUGCUUCCGUAUCUUGACUAUUGUAAAAAAAUGCUGCAAGGAACAUAAGGGUGCAUAUGUCUUUUUUAAUUGGUGUUUUUGUUUUCUUCAGACUAAUAGAAGUGGAAUUGCUGCAUCACAUGAUAGUUCUAUUUUUAAUCUUUUGAGGAACCUCCAUCCUGCUUUCUGCAGUGCUGCACCGAUUUCUAUUCCCACCAACAGUGCACGAGGGUUCCCUUUUCUCCACAUCCUCGCCAACACUUAUUUCUUGUCUUUUUGAUGAUAGCCAUUCUAAUAGGUGUGAGGUCAUCUCUCAUUAUGGUUUUGAUUAGCAUUUUCCUGAUGACUAGGGAUGUUGAGCACCUUUUCACAUACCUUUUGGCCAUUUGUAUGUCUUCUUAGUAAAAAUAUCUAUUCAGAUCUUCUGAUUUUUUAAAAAGAUUUUAUUUAUUUAUUUGAGAGAGCGAGUGAGUACAAGCAGGGUGAGCAGCAGAGGGAGAAGCAGGCUCUCUGCUGAGCAGGGAGCCCGAUGCGGGGCUCAAUCCCAGGGCCCUGGGACCAUGACCUGGGCUGAAGGCAGACGCUUGACUGACUGAGCCACCCAGGCACCCCUCUUCUGCUGAUUUUUAAUCAGAUAUAUAUAUAUGUAUAUGUAUAUAUGUAUAUGUAUAUAUAUAUUUGCUAUUGAGUUGUAGGAGUUCUUUAUAUAUUUUGGAUAUUAACUCCUCAUAUAUGAUUUGAAGAUAUUUUCUCCCAUUUGAUAGGUUGCUUUUUCAUCUUAUUGAUGGUUUCCUUUGUUGUGCAGAAGCUUUUUAGUUUGAUGUAGUCCCACAUGUUUAUUUUUGCUUUUGUUACCUUUGCUUUUGGUGUCAAAUGAUUGUGAAUGCUCCAAAUGCCCCUGAAUUAUACACUUAAAAAUAAUUAAGAUGGCAAACUUUAUGGUUUGCCUGUUUUAUCACAAUAAAAAACCCCCACAAAACUAAGAUCAACUUUGUGUCUUCCUAUAGAUCGGCUUGCCACUUAAAACCUAAAAUGCCCUUCCUGAUAUUUGUUCCUAACCAAUGCCCUUGCCUCUGUCUUGAACUCUACGCAGCCACCUGGACUCUGCUUGUGCCAGAAUCACACUUGAGCCCAUUGCUGCCUGACCAGUCCCUCCCUCUUCAACUGGCUUUACCCAGCUCCCUGGAAUGUCACCUUGCCUGAGAUUUGCACAUUCCAUUUAUACCCUUACCUGUCCCUCCACCUGUGACUGGGAGAUUGUAUAUCAUGCUUUACUCUCUCCCUCUGGCUUAGAUUCUUUCCUGUAGGGCCUCAGCUUUGCUGCCCUGCUUGUC